rnacentral:lncRNA from 1 species
UACCUCAGCCUAGGGAGGGGGCUUUUGGUCUCAUUUUGGGCUUGAUCAUGUCAGGCAUACUGUAGACUGCCUUGUCAUGGGACUUGUAACUUUACCUUGAUCUUUGAUAUGGGUUAGCUCUGACUGUCUGUCAGGGCUUACACAGGCUAACACACUGUGAACUGUGUUGCACUAGGACUUGGGACUUCUCUCUGGAAUUACAGACCAGAUUCAGAGUGAUACUUCCCAGAGCCUGUAAUCCAGAUAUGUCAGGGAGGAUCAGGUGACUCUCUUGGGAG